rnacentral:rRNA from 1 species
UGGGGAAUUUUGCGCAAUGGGGGAAACCCUGACGCAGCAACGCCGCGUGCGGGAUGACGGCCUUCGGGUUGUAAACCGCUUUCAGUAGGGACGAACUAAUGACGGUACCUACAGAAGAAGCCCCGGCUAACUACGUGCCAGCAGCCGCGGUAAUACGUAGGGGGCGAGCGUUAUCCGGAUUCAUUGGGCGUAAAGCGCGCGUAGGCGGUCAUGUAAGCGGGACCUCUAAUCUUGGGGCUCAACCUCAAGCCGGGUUCCGAACUACAUGACUCGAGUGUGGUAGGGGAGAUCGGAAUUCCCGGUGUAGCGGUGGAAUGCGCAGAUAUCGGGAAGAACACCGAUGGCGAAGGCAGAUCUCUGGGCCAUAACUGACGCUGAGGCGCGAAAGCUAGGGGAGCAAACAGG